AGAGUUUGAUCAUGGCUCAGAUUGAACGCUGGCGGUAGGCUUAACACAUGCAAGUCGUGCGAGAAAGUAUCUUCGGAUAUGAGUAGAGCGGCGGACGGGUGAGUAACGCGUAGGAAUCUACCUAGUAGAAGGGGAUAGCCCGGGGAAACCCGGAUUAAUACCGUAUACCUCCUUCGGGAGAAAGAAGGCCUCUCUUUGAAGCUUUCGCUAUUAGAUGAGCCUGCGUAAGAUUAGCUUGUUGGUGAGGUAAAGGCUCACCAAGGCUACGAUCUUUAGCUGGUCUGAGAGGACGAUCAGCCACAUUGGGACUGAGACACGGCCCAGACUCCUACGGGAGGCAGCAGUGGGGAAUAUUGGACAAUGGGCGCAAGCCUGAUCCAGCCAUACCGCGUGUGUGAAGAAGGCCUUCGGGUUGUAAAGCACUUUAAGCAGGGAGAAAAAGUUAUAAGUAAAUACCUUAUAACCGUGAUGUUACCUGCAGAAUAAGCACCGGCUAAUUCCGUGCCAGCAGCCGCGGUAAUACGGAAGGUGCAAGCGUUAAUCGGAAUUACUGGGCGUAAAGCGCGCGUAGGUGGUUUGUUAAGUUGGAUGUGAAAGCCCUGGGCUCAACCUAGGAACUGCAUCCAAAACUAACUCACUAGAGUACGAUAGAGGGAGGUAGAAUUCAUAGUGUAGCGGUGGAAUGC
rnacentral:rRNA from 1 species